rnacentral:rRNA from 1 species
UACGAAGGGGGCUAGCGUUGUUCGGAAUUACGGGGCGUAAAGCGCACGUAGGCGGAUAUUUAAGUCAGGGGUGAAAUCCCAGAGCUCAACUCUGGAACUGCCUUUGAUACUGGGUAUCUAGAGUAUGGAAGAGGUGAGUGGAAUUCCGAGUGUAGAGGUGAAAUUCGUAGAUAUUCGGAGGAACACCAGUGGCGAAGGCGGCUCACUGGUCCAUUACUGACGCUGAGAAGCGAAAGCAUGGGGAGCGAACAGG